rnacentral:rRNA from 1 species
CCUACGGGAGGCAGCAGUGGGGAAUAUUGGGCAAUGGGCGCAAGCCUGACCCAGCCACGCCGCGUGAAGGAAGAAGGCUUUCGGGUUUUAAACUUCUUUUCUCAGAGACGUAGCAUGUGACAGUACCUGAUGAAUAAGCCACGGCUAACUACGUGCCAGCAGCCGCGGUAAUCCGUAGGUGGCAAGCGUUAUCCGGAUUUACUGGGUGUAAAGGGAGUUUAGGCGGGUACGCAAGUCAGAUGUGAAAACUAGGGGCUCAACCUGUGGCCUGCAUUUGAAACUGGGUGUCUUGAGGACUGGAGAGGUAGACGGAAUUCGUAGUGUAGCGGUGAAAUGCGUAGAUAUUAGGAGGAACACCAGUGGCGAAGGCGGCUUACUGGACUGCAACUGACGUUGAGGCUCGAAAGUGUGGGGAGCAAACAGGAUUAGAUACCCCUGUAGUC